rnacentral:rRNA from 1 species
CGUGUAGGCGGAUGGGAAAGUCGGUUGUGAAAUCCCUGGGCUCAACCUAGGAACUGCAUCCGAAACUGCCUGUCUUGAGUAAUGGAGAGGGUGGCGGAAUUCCCGGUGUAGAGGUGAAAUUCGUAGAUAUCGGGAGGAACAUCAGUGGCGAAGGCGGCCACCUGGACAUUCACUGACGCUGAGACGUGAAAGCGUGGGGAGCAAACA